GAGUUUGAUCCUGGCUCAGAUUGAACGCUGGCGGCAUGCCUUACACAUGCAAGUCGAACGGCGGCAUGAUCUAGCUUGCUAGAUUGAUGGCGAGUGGCGAACGGGUGAGUAAUACAUCGGAACGUGCCCUGUAGUGGGGGAUAACUAGUCGAAAGAUUAGCUAAUACCGCAUACGACCUGAGGGUGAAAGUGGGGGACCGCAAGGCCUCAUGCUAUAGGAGCGGCCGAUGUCUGAUUAGCUAGUUGGUGGGGUAAAGGCCCACCAAGGCGACGAUCAGUAGCUGGUCUGAGAGGACGAUCAGCCACACUGGGACUGAGACACGGCCCAGACUCCUACGGGAGGCAGCAGUGGGGAAUUUUGGACAAUGGGCGAAAGCCUGAUCCAGCAAUGCCGCGUGUGUGAAGAAGGCCUCGGUUGUAAG
rnacentral:rRNA from 1 species